GACGAACGCUGGCGGCGUGCCUAAUACAUGCAAGUAGAACGCUGAAGGAGGAGCUUGCUUCUCUGGAUGAGUUGCGAACGGGUGAGUAACGCGUAGGUAACCUGCCUGGUAGCGGGGGAUAACUAUUGGAAACGAUAGCUAAUACCGCAUAAUAGCAGUUAUUGCAUGAUAACUGUUUGAAAGGUGCAAUUGCACCACUACCAGAUGGACCUGCGUUGUAUUAGCUAGUUGGUGGGGUAACGGCUCACCAAGGCGACGAUACAUAGCCGACCUGAGAGGGUGAUCGGCAACACUGGGACUGAGACACGGCCCAGACUCCUACGGGAGGCAGCAGUAGGGAAUCUUCGGCAAUGGACGGAAGUCUGACCGAGCAACGCCGCGUGAGUGAAGAAGGUUUUCGGAUCGUAAGCUCUGUUGUAAGAGAAGAACGAGUGUGAGAGUGGAAAGUUCACACUGUGACGGUAUCUUACCAGAAAGGGACGGCUAACUACGUG
rnacentral:rRNA from 1 species